rnacentral:rRNA from 1 species
AUUGAACGCUGGCGGCAGGCUUAACACAUGCAAGUCGAACGAGUGGCGGACGGGUGAGUAAUGCUUGGGAAUCUAGCUUAUGGAGGGGGAUAACUACGGGAAACUGUAGCUAAUACCGCGUACCAUAGGAUGAGCCCAAGUGGGAUUAGGUAGUUGGUGAGGUAAAGGCUCACCAAGCCGACGAUCGCUAGCUGGUCUGAGCGGAUGACCAGACAUACUGGGACUGAGACACGGCCCAAGCUCCGACGGGAGGCAGCGGUGGGGAAUAUUGGACAAUGGGCGAAAGCCUGAUCCAGCCAUGCCACGUGUGUGAAGAAGGUCUUCGGAUUGUAAAGCGCUUUAAGUUGGGGGGCGUUACCAACAGAAUGAGCACCGGCUAACUUCGUGCCAGCAGCCGCGGUAAUAC